CCGACUCGGGGAGGUAGUGACAAUAAAUAACAAUACAGGGCUUACAGUCUUGUUAUUGGAAUGAGAACAAUUUAAACCCCUUAACGAGGAUCAAUUAGAGGGCAAGUCUGGUGCCAGCAGCCGCGGUAAUUCCAGCUCUAAUAGCGUAUAUUAAAGUUGUUGCAGUUAAAAAGCUCGUAGUCGGAUGUCGGGCUCGGGCAGGCUGUCGGCCUCUGGUCGGAUGGCAGGCUCGGGUCUUCUUGCCUGGGGGCACCGUCACACUUAACUGUGGGGCGGCUGGUCGCAGGCCGUUUACUUUGAAAAAAUUAGAGUGUUCAAAGCAGGCCUACGCUUGAAUACAUUAGCAUGGAAUAAUGGAAUAGGACUUUGGUGCUAUUUUGUUGGUUUAUGGUACCGAAGUAAUGAUUAAUAGGGACAGUUGGGGCCGUUUAUAUUUCGUUGUCAGAGGUGAAAUUCUUGGAUUUACGAAAGAUAAACUUCUGCGAAAGCAUUCGGCAAGGAUGUUUUCAUUGAUCA
rnacentral:rRNA from 1 species